ensembl:snRNA U1 U1 spliceosomal RNA
AUACCUACCUGGCCAAGAAGAAACUAUGAUUACAAUGGUAGUUUUCCCAGGACAAGGCUUAUCCAUUGCACUCUGGAUGUGAUGACCCUUGUGAUUUCCCCAAAUGUGAGAAACUCGACUGUAUAAUCUGUGGUAGUGUGGGACUGUGUUCACAGUCUCCCU